AAACCGUUCAGGGGUAAACCUAAGAAACCCAAAAGAUCGAACGGGGAGAUUCAUCGUCAGCGUCGCAGGCUUCGCGUCGGUGGGCGAUGCCCCGCGGUGCCGUUCCCUCGGCACUCGCGCGGGCACGCUACCGUGCGCCGAUGUCCGGCGUACGUCGUCGUGCACUUCUCCCCUAGUAGGACGUCGCGACCCGCUGGGUGUCGGUCUACGGCCCGGGUACGGUGACUGUCGCGUCGCCGGUAAAACGGCACGCGGCAAACUCCCGGUCGCCCGGCCGGCUGCCCGGCGGUACACGCAACGGUACAAGGCCGCGCCGCGCGCGCGUCGGGCCCGUCGCAAGCGAGCGCCACGGUACCCGGAGGUACGGACCUAGCGCCGUCCCCGGUCCUGGCCCGCUGUUAGCAGUACGGUGUUACCUUCGACAGGCCUCCCUCUCGUUCACGCGAGAGAUUACCGGUCGGCGACGCUACUGCUUUGGGUACUCUUAGGA
rnacentral:rRNA from 1 species